UAUGGCAGAGGGUAGUUGGGAUCUUCAAGGUCCUCAGAGGCAGCUAUGGUGCCUUCUGUUAGUCUAGGAUCCCAUCCCCUCCUACUUCCUUUGCAUUACUGCAGAGGAUACUUGGGACUGUUAAUUGCCACCAGAGUCCCUUUAGUUUGUCUAGGAUCCCAUCCAUUGCAUUACAGAGUUUACAUGAGACUGUUAAUUGUGCUUAAAUGCAGCUGUGGUCCCUUAUGUUAAGGUAGAAUCCUAUCCCCACCUAACUUCUUUUGCAUCAUACAUAUUGUAUAUGAGUCUCUUAUAUGCUUAAAUGAAGCCUUGUCCCUUAUGUUAAUGUAGGAUUCCUAUGCAUUACAGCAGAGGGGACUUGGCACCUAAAGGUCCUUAAAUGUAGCUGUGGUGCCUUCUGUCAGUCUAGGAUCCCAUUCCCCUUUUACUCCCUUUACAUUACAUGGCAGGGCAUUUGGGACUGUUCAUGUGCUUAAUUGCAGUUACAGUCCCUUCUGUUAAUCUAGCUUCCCAUGCCCUCCUGCUUUGCAUCACAGCAGAGAAUACUUGAGACCUUUAAGGUGUUUGAUUGCAGCUAUGGUCCCUUCUGUUAGUCUAGGAUCUCACAUCCUUUAACUUCCUUUGUAUUCCCUGGGAUUGUCUUUGGGACUGUAAAAUUGCUUAGUUGCAGCUGUGGUCCCUUUUCUUAGUCUAGGGUCCCAUCCCUUCCUACUCACUUUGUAUUACCUGGAAGUGGAUUUGGGACUAUUGUGCUUAUUUGCGACUGUGGUCCCUUUUGUUAGUCUGGGGUCCCAUGUGUUGCAACUCCUGCACACAGCAGGGACUACUUGGGACUAUUAAUAUGUUUAAUUUUAGCUGUGGUCCCUUCCAGUAGUCUAGGAUCCCAUCUUCUCCUACACCUUUGUAUUACCUGGUAGCAUUUGGGACUAAAAAGUACUUAAUUGCACCUGUGGUCCCUUUUGUUGUUAUAGGAUCCCAGUGUUCUCCAACUCUCUUUGUAUUACAGCAUAGGGCAUUAGCCUGUUAACAGGCUUAACUGUACCCGGUCAUGGGUACUAAGGAGGGCCCGUAUUGCAUGGAGCACUGGGUAUUAUAAGCAAACAAUGAAUCAUGGAACACUACAUCAAAAACUAAUGAUGUACUGUAUGGUGACUAACAUAACGUAAUAAUAAAAAAAGGCUUAACUGUAGUGGUGGUUCCUUCUGUUACUCUAGUGUAAGCCCUCCAACUGCCUUUGUGUUACCUGGGAGUGUAUUUGGGAUCGUUAAAUUGCUUAAUUGCAGCUGUUGUCUCUUCUAUUAGUAUAGUUUUCCAUGCCCUUCUAUGCAAUUUACAUUACAACAAGAGGGUCCUUGGGAUUGUUAAUUGCUGCUGUUGUACUUUCUCUAAUUCCUGGGAUCCCAUCUUCUCCUACUCUGUUUACAUUAUCUGGGAGGAUUUUUGGGACUGUUAGAAGGCACCACACAACUAAAUUGACCAUUUUUUGUUAGUAUAGUUUCCCAUGCCCUACUAUUCUCUUUGCAUUACAACAGAUGGUACUUGGGACUGUUAAGUACUUAAUUGCAGGUGUGGUCCCAUCUGUUAGUCUAGGAUCUCAUUCCCUUCUCCUUUUACAUUACUGGGAGCCGAUUUGGGAAUGUUAACAUGCUUAAUUACAGUUGUAGUCCCUUCUCUUAGUCUAGUUUCCAGUCCCUUCCAACUCCCCUUGCAUUACCUAGGAACCGAUUUGGGACUGUAAUGUGCUGCAGCUGUGGUCCCUUCUGUUAGUCUAGCAUCCCAUGCCCUCUAACUCUCUGUCCAUUAACAGCAGAGGAUAUUUGGGACUUUUAAUGGGCUUAAUUGCAGCCCUGGUCCCUUUUGUUAACCUGGGAUCCCAUGUCCUCCAACUCACUUGGCACUACCUUAGGUUGUAUUUGGAACUGUUUAAACGCUCAGUUGGAGCUGUGGUCCCUUUCGUGUGUCUAGUUUCCCAUUCCCUCCUACUCUUUUGCAUUAUAGCAGUGGGUACUUGGGGCUGUUAAAGUACUUAAUUGCUGGUGUAUUCACUUUUGUUGGUUUAGGAUCCCAUCCCCUUUCACUCCCUUUACAUUACCUGGGAGGAUUUGGGGGACCAUUUAAGUGCUCAUUUGCGCCUGUGACGCCCUUUGUUAGUCUAGGAUCCGAUGCCCUCUAACUCCCUUUGCUGCAUUACAGCAGGUGGUAUUUGGGACUGUAAAUGUGCUUAAGUUAAAUACAGGUGUGGUCCAUUUUGCUGGUUCAUGACCACCUCCUCCCUUUAUCUUACCUGGGAGCAGAUUUGUUACUGAAAGGUGCUUAAUUGCAGCCGUGUUCCCUUCUGUUCGUUUAGGAUCCUACACCUCCAACUCUCUUUGCAUCACGGCAGAGAGUACUUGGGCCUGUCACAUGCUCGCAGCUGUGGUACCUUCUGAUUUGUAGGAUCCCAUGCCCACCUACUCCCUUUACAUUAUCUGGGAGUGUAUUUGGGAAGGAUACAGUGCUUAAUUUUAGCAGUGGUUCCCUUUGCUGGUAUAUUUUUCCAUGCCCUCCUGCUAUUUUUGCAUUAUAGCAGAGGGUACUUGCGACUGUGAAUGUGCUUAAAUGUAGUAGUGGUCCCUUUUGUUAGUCUAGGAUCCCAUGCCCUCUCACUCCUUUUACAUUGCCUCAGAAAGUACUUGGGACUAUUAAGGUGUAUCCCAUUCACUCACACCCUGUUAGCGUUAUAGUGGGGGGUUGCUGAAAACUAAGGCCCUCCUUUUUUUGCACUGUUAAUGUGCAUAAUUGUAUUUGUUCCUUUUUCUCUGUAGUAGAUAAGAUUUCACUAAUUUCCCGUGUAUUCAGCAGUGGAUGCACUUUAUUUAAGACUUUUGUAUUAGGAUAAAGUGAACUAUGGUAAUUGACCACACUGUGUCUUUCAUUUAAGUCCCCUGUGCUCUCUUUGAAUAAUUACCUCAGUUACUUUUUUUCUGGGACUGUGUGCAGAAUUCCUAUGUUUAUGGUCCUUCUCUUUAAACUAAUUUCCCACCUUCUUUAUAUUACAUCAGGGGAUGCUUGUAUCUCAAAGUUCUUUUCUUGGGACUUUUAAUGUGCAUGUGUCCUGUUGAUAAGCUAAUAUCCUUACUUCUUAGUAUUAUACUAGGGGGUACUGACCACCUACAGUCUUUCUGUUGGACAGUUAAUGUGCCAAAUUGCACUGGGAUCCCAUCCCCAUCACACCUUCUCUGUGUCAGGGGUGCUGACCAACUAUGACUGCUUCUCCUGUGUGGUUUAAAUGUGCGUAGUUAUAGCAGUCCGUGCUCCCUUAUGGUCAUAUAAGAUCUCAUUUCCUUGCCCCAUAUACAUUAUUGCAGGGGCUUCUGACUAGCCAAAAUACACUCUCUUGGACUGUUAAUGUGCAUACUUAACAUUUGCUCUUAUACCUGUACACCAGGUAAGGAUCUUCCCCAUAUUAUUUAUACUCCAGCAGGAGGUGCCUAUUACUCAAGAUUUUACUCACUAAUGCAGUUAAUACACACAACCUUCAUUGUUUUGUACACACUCAGUUGUCCACAACUGUGCCUUUUAGUUCAGGACUUUGCACUUAACCGAAACAGAGGUGACUGACCACAUUAAAGCCUUUCUCUUGGGACUGUGGAUGUGUGUAGUUUCAGUUGUCCACUCUCCUUUGAGUUAACCUGGGUCUCUGACUCUUUUCAGAACCUCUAAGCCUUACUGUAUGGGAUACUGUCAAUUUAAGGCCCCUUUCUCGAACUGUUAAUGUGCAUAAUGACAAAUUAGGAUUCUUCCUUUUUACACUGCCUUUGAAGUACUACAGGGAAUUCUGACCCAUAAGGUCCCAUUUCUUGGCCUGUUAAGAGGCAUGAUUGUAUUUGUCUGGGUUCCUGUGAAAUAGAGAAGAACACCUCUUCCCACUCCCUCUGUCUGUUGUUUAUUAUGCAGGGAGUGCCCCCUCUACAAGGUUGUUACACUUGAGUAGUCAAGGAACACAAUUGUAAUUGACCACAGCCAUGCACCAUGGAUACUAAUGUGCAUAAUUGCACAUGGCUCAUCCCAUUUGAAUAAGGUACUACCCUCUCAGACCUCUUUUGUAGUACCGCGGGGGUACUGAUCACUAAGGCCUUUUUUUAUGGCUUGUGAUUAUGCGUAAUUGCAUUUGUACAUGUUCCUGUACACUAAAUAAGGACACCCCUCUCUCCACUCCCUUAACCUUUUAGCAGGGAGUGCCCAUUACUUUAAGAUCCUUAUAUUUGUACAAGGUACACGGUUUUAAUUAACCAUACCAUAUCCCUUGGGCAUUAACGUACAUAAUUGCAGCUUAGUUCAUCCUACCCUGUUGUAUGUCAUUGCAGUAUACCAGGGUUGCUGACCCCUAACUCGUCCUGUUAAUGUGCAUAAUUGCAUUUGUCCGGGUUCUUAUGCACUAGAUGAGGAGACAUCCACCACCCCUACUUCUAAGCCUUCUAGUAGGUGGAGCCCACUGCUAAGACACUUACAUUUGGACGGUUAAUGUGCAGAAUUGUAUUUUUCCACAACCCUAUCACUUCCAGAACUAUUGUGUCUCCUUUGCACUGCUGCAGGGGAUACUCUUCUCCCAAAUUCCCUCUGGCAAACCACUAACAUUCAUAAUUGAAAUUGUCUGUUGUCCUCAGUAGACUAAAGUCCUACACCAUCACCUUCCCUUGCAAUACAGCAGAGCGUGCUGAUGAACUAAGGCCCUCUUUUGGACUGUUAUAUGUGCAAUUGCCUUUUUUCCUGUUUUGUGUACUGUAAGGACCCCUCCUACUUCCUAAGCAUGUUUAGCAGGUAGGGUCCACUAUUUAAGACUCUUUGACUUAGAAAGUUCAUGUAUAAAAUGCAGUUUGCUAAGCAUGCCUUAUACUAGAACCCCUGCACCCUCUUCGCUUUGGAGUAGGGAGAUGCUAUUUACCUGAUGCCCUUUCUUUUGGACUUUAAUGUGUAUAAUUGCAAUUGUCCUUCUUUUCUGUUGGACUAGGACUGCAUCUCCUCAAACCCUCUUUGUGCAUCAGGGGCAUUUUAACCAUAAAUGAGCUCUUCUCGAGAUUAUUAAUAUACAUACUUGCAUUUGUUUGUGGAUUUGUGCAGUGUGAAAGGAUGCUCUAUGCCCCUACCACUGCCUUUGGAUUGCUGCUGAGGACUGCUAUCAUGACCUCAGCUCUUGAACAAUUAAUGUGCACCACUGGCAAUGAUGGGACCUAUGUACCCCAUUUGUAUACAUCAGGGGUACGGACUAAGGCCCCUUUCUUGGAUUGUCAAUGAGCAAUUAUCUAUGUUCCCUUCUGUUAGAUUUAGGAUAACAUUCCCUUAAAUCUCCUUUGCGUUACUAUAGGGGUUGCUGACCACACAAAACUUCUCCUGGGACUGUUAAUUGGGCACAAUGGCAAUUGGCAAUGAGUUUUUCCUCCCUGGCCUUGUUAGGCAAACACUCCCAACCUUGUUAGGCAAAUAAUCCCACCCCAAUUUUGCAUGACAUAAUUAAAUAUAAACAUUGCAGUAUGCUGUGAACUUGUCCGUCCAAUAGCAACCCAUACUCCCUCUCCUUUUGUAUUGCUCCUAUGUAUAAAAUUCCAAGUAGUCAUGGUCUUCCCCUUAUCCUCCCUCUUCUCACACUGUGCUCACCCUCUGACCCUUCUGUGGACCUUUGUCACAGUUUCAGGUGUUCGUGUAUUCAGCCAUUAAAUAAGAUCCCCCCCCCGCUCCCCUUUUGCAUUAUUGCUGGGGAAUGUUGACUGGGCAAGGCCCUUUCUCUUGGACUUAAAACAUUAACAAUCCCUGAUGUCAUUGCCUUGCCCACUUUAUAUGGCUGUAAUGCCUCAGUUGCACUUUUCUUAGUUCCACCCAUCAGACAUGGACCCCUCCACUUCCUUGCAUUGCAUUGCUGACACCCAGACUCCCUUCUGUGUUAUUAACACAGUACUGAUUGUCCCAUUUUUUAGCUUAUCAGCCCCAAAUUUUCCUACCACUUUGAUGUUGUGUGCAGUGUUGACUACCAAAAGCAGACCUGAAUUAGGUGGAUGGGCCUUCACUCCUUUUUCUGCAUUUGUUAAUGAUCCAGUUCCAGUUGUGACGUUCUGGGACAGGAACCAUCCCUGCCCACCUCUGUUACUGCUUUACUGAGCAAAAUGCUCAAGGCAAGUCAGUCUUAGAAAGCUGGAUUGCCACCCUUUAUUAUGGGUUUUCAAUAUAAGUAUCAGUUGAAAAUUGUCUCCCCAGGAAGAAAGGUUAGCACCAUCUGUGCAUUCUUCCUUCCAGAGCAGAUUGCCUGGCCAAGAAUCUCUCUUCCCUCUUGUUUAUUGCUUGUACGGUGCCGGUUGCCAGGAUACAAUUAAAAAAAACCCCACAAAAAAAACGCUGUUUGCAAGAUGGAAUUGUAAACCUGGUCAAUUAAUUUUUGAAAUCCCAAAACCCUUUUAUACCAUGUACCUGAUGACCAGUGUCUCUCAUUUUACUAUGGGUGGUGGGUCUGUGGAUAGACCACUGUGAAUCUUGCUAUUUUAGUAUUCCCAAGAGUUCUAGAGUGGAAUUCUAAGACAGAUAUCUUUGGGCUCUACCACCAUUUUAAGACCAUUCUUUAUUCGGGCUUUACCACCAUUCACUUUUAGAAAAACUACCUAAACUUUCUAAUCCUUAAAUUUCUUCAUCUUGGAUCAUCAACCACCCCCUACUUAUUUCAAGAAGAUUGCUGUAAAUGAAUGAACUGAGAGAACAUAUGCUGAGGCACUUUUGAAAACCAUAGUUCACCUUACUUGAUUAAUCUGUUCCAUAAACGAAAUGCACCCUGUUUAAUUCUGCUAAUUUACAGUAGCCUGAAGCACUACACUGAAAUGAUGGGAAAUGAUGGGACCGAUUUCCCUGUUUUAUAUUAAAGGAGAAAUAAGCCAAGAUCUAAUCAUUCUUCUGGACAUAAAUUUCAUCAGUGAGAUAGCUUCCUGGUAAAAUGAAUAAUAUCCUAGCCUCUAGUGUGCAGGGUGUGGCAGAGAAGUGUCUAACAUGGAACUGCUGAAGCAAAUAACUAGGCAUCACAGCAGCAGUUCUUUGUAAUCACUGAAAAAGGAUACUAUUCCUCUGACAAGGAUGUCAAAAGAACGGCCCAGCUCAGGGUGCAGUAUGCACUACUAGUUCCUUGGACAGCUGUAAGAAGAGUCUCUGGCUCUUUAGAAUACUGGAUGAAUUCUGAGCUGGUUCUGUACCCCCAGUCAAGAGGAAGGAUGGAUCAACUUUAAGUGGAUUGAAGCCGGCAUUAGACAACAUCCAAAGCUGUGAUGCUUCUGUGACUUGGCUAGUGUUGGAGUACUUGAACCAGCUGGCCAGUUAUGCCACUUGGUUUUUAUGACUAAAAUCUUCCUCGGAGGAAUAGGCUUGUUGCUCUACGGUGUUAGUGACCCGUUCCCUUUGACGAUCCCUAGGUGGAGAUGGGGCAUGAGGAUCCUCCAGGGGAAAAGCUCACUACCACUGGGCAACAACCCUAGGCCAGGAGUUCUAUCAAGAUUCUUCCCUGGGCCCAAGGAGGAAGAUGAAGUCUCAAAACAACCACCACCCAUCAGAGGUGGGAGAACAUGGGCAACAACUGCCACAUCUGUGACAUUGAUCAUGGGCAGAUCAUCAUUUUGGACCCUCUGGUCCCCAAAGUCAGUCUUGAGGCCUUGUUGGGGAAUUUUGACAAUCAUUUCCAUACUUCAAGAUGGCUUAGGAUGUCUUUGGGAUAAAACACAAAACAAGCUGUUUGAGAAGAUAAAUAGGAGUUGUAUCUUUUAAUGCUGUCCUUGCUGAUUAAUGGAACCUGACCAGAAAUAGCACAAAGUUUCCAUUGUCAGCUCCUGAUUGUUCCCUUCUUAUCUGCCAAAUCACUGUCUCCUAAAAGCAGUGCAGAGCACAAGAAAGUGGAACAUACAUAACAAAGGAAGAUCAACAUGCCUGGCAUGCUAGCAUUUUAGAACAGCGGAAUGCAUGUGUAUUUCUUUGCUUGUCUAUUUCUUUCUUCAAUCUCUUUGGUUGUCUUUCUCUAUCUAAAGUGUGUCUUAGCCAUCCCAUGAUUCUCUUGCUAGUUUCUUCUCUGUGUAUCUUUGUCUCAUUUUGCUUUUUGUUCCUAAGAGUGGUCUGUGCCUUGUCUUAUAUGUCUUUCUAGUUUUUUCUUCAUUCUGUUACUGAUUCUCUUUGCUCUCCUAGAUCUGGCUCUUCUUUCAGUGUUCUUUCCUUUGUGUCUCUGUGUCACAUGCUGUGUGCUUUUUGUUCAUUUCUUGUUCUGCCUAUACCUCUCUUCUUUUACUGUUGUGUGAACCCCGAUUGUUCGUCUUUUCUUCCCCUUCUUGUUGGUUUGACACUUCACUUUUUUCUCAUUCUGGAUUCCCUUCUGCUUUUUCUACUCAAUAUCUCACGUUUCUCUUUUCUAUGUGUUUUUUUCUGCCUCUGUUGGGCCGUUUUCUCUCUUUUUUUCCUGCUAAGCGUCUCUUUGUUCUUUGUGGUUUUCCAUCUCAACAUUCACCUCCGUUCUUUGUGAUUUUCCAUUUUCAGCAUUCAUCUCUGUUCUCUUGUUUCUUCUCUGCUUUUCCCCUUCUGCUUACCUUUGAGUAUUUCAGCUUUUUUAUGUGUCUGUGUUGCCUCUCUUUGACUUUCUGCAGUCCUCUCUCCUUGCAUAUUUUUGUGCAUCUGUGUGGUCAUGUGUGUGUGUUUGUGACAGAGGGGUUUCUUAAACCCUUCCCAAUAGGUACAGAGUGCCAGCUAUCAAAAUAAGCAUUGCAGAGCUGUUCAUUAUGCCAGGACACCCUGUGAGAUGAUCCAAGACCUAUGAUGGACAGAAGGUGGAAGACCCAUAAUGAAUAGAGGGCCCAAAGUAAAAGACAGAUGAUUUGAGACUUGAGACCUGAAGGCAAACAUGGAAAACCUGUGUUUCAAGAUAGAUGGAAUCCUCAGGCUUGAGACCAUCAAAGCCGUGACAGCUAUGAUGUAAAAAGGUGGCCCCUGUUGGAUAGAAGACCUGACUGAGUUGGAUGGAAAGUUGAAAUCUUGAGUUAGAUAGAAGUCCAAAGACCCACAGUGGGAGACUGUAGGCACCUAAGAUCCAAGGAUGGAAGGCCCCAGACACGCAUAAAGACCCAGGACUCCUGCCUGCCUAGAUGGACGGAAGGCUGAAGAGAGAAAGGUGUCUUAAGACUAAAUUAGAUGGGAAGCUGGAAGCCCAUGACACAGAAUCCAGGAAGGAUAGAAGCCCCAAGACCAAAGAUGAGAACACUAAACCCCAGCUUUUUUCUCUUGCCAUCCUCCCUACCCUUGGAUAUGUUCAGUUCUCCCUUUCCACUUCUUAUGUUUUCAUUUAAGCCCACUUCUUUUGAGGAGCCCUUUUUGAUGUUGCUAUUACUUUAAGAAACGUAUCUUUAGGUUGACAAUAUUAUGUUUGGGUCAGUCUUAAGCCAAUUUUUAUCACGGUUUUAAUCCAUUUAUUAAGUGUUUAUUUUUUAAAUUUCCAUUUCUCUUCACCUCCACUCCUUGAGAGACACAUAUAGGUAACGUUAUAUAUCAGUCCUCCCUUUUCUUUAGAAGCUCUAGCCUGAUGAGCAAAGGCAAGCAUCAGGCUGUUGGGGGAAAAAAGUGCCAGGCUAUCUAGAGAAAAUGUGAAGAGAUGUUCCAGGCCAAUGAGAAGAAUUAGACAAGAAAUACUCAGAUGUACCAGCCUGUUGAGAAGCACCAGCCUGCAACACCUUCUUCUUUGAGCUUGGGUGAGCAGGAUUCUUGGGGUUUGGGAUUCCUAGUGAUGGUUACAAUACAAUGAUUGGGCCUGGGAUGGAGUGAGGCCCCAAGGACACAGUUUGAACUCCCUGCUUAUAGUAGUGGCCUAAUAAUUUGGUAGAUUGUGACAACACUGCUCCUGUGUUUAAUACCCACCUCUAGGCUUAAUGGUGAGAAAACUUGGGAAUAUUUAGCAGGUUUAAUCUUUUCCUUGAUUUUUUCCCCCUUACCACGUGGGAAGAUAAUUUAAAUAACAGAAUAUAUGUGAAAGCACUGUAAAGCACAGAAAAAACAAGGCAUUCUCAUUAAUGGUAUAUUGGCAGCCAUGCACAGCUAACAUUUAAAGUGCACUGUCAGUUGUGAGGAAUUAUGUAAAUUAGGAGUCAUCAUGCCCUUUCCAUAAAGGGUCAGAUGGUAAUAUUUUAGGUUUUGUGGGCCGUGUGGUCUCUGACAUACUUUUUUCUUUUACAACCCUUUAAAAAGGAAAAACUAUUCUUAGCUUGUGAACCGAGUAAAUUUGGUCUGGGGGCCAUAGUUAUCACCCCUGAUGUAAAUACCAGGGACUGUGUGCUGAAUUAUAUUAUUUCUGUGUACCUGUCCCUGUGCACUAAGGAUGCAGUAUUUAUUUAUGAUCACAUCCAGGUGACUUGAAGAAAAAUAAGUGAAUGUGCUUUGUAAACUAUAAAGCACUUAAAGGUUUAUGAGUUUCAGAGUUGAUGAAUGAAUAUUGAUUACAUAUUAUCUACAUUCUGCUGUACUGGACACUGUAGAUACAAAGAUGAAAAGGAGCCUGAAUAAAGUACAUUGUCAAAAGUAUUUAAUACUAUGCAGAUAUUAACAAUUGUUUGAUAAAUGAAUAACUCCUACAUUGGUGGCUAUCGUGUUUCUGCUGCUCUGGUAAUUUUAAGUAAAAAUACAGUAUUCCAGGAAGCAGAGAAGCAAACACAUGGAAACUGCUUUGAAACCAUAAAAUAUACUGCAAACACAGGGGAUUAAGCUAUUGUGAGCACUUAAAAUGUGCCGGAUACCAUACUAGGUGCUACAAAUGUCAAUGGGAAAAGACGUGUUCUCGUUACGGAAUUAAAAAUUUCAGAUGAUGAGGUGCGUAUUAAAGUGCCUUAUAAACAUGUUUAUGAAUGGAUGAAUAUUAAUUGCCUUUUAUGGGCCAUGUACUGUUUGGGUACUGUGAAAUUUAAGAUAAUGCUCCCAUGUAAUAAGAGGGAGGAUUAUGUACUAAACUAUUUAGAUGUAAGGAAUUAGAUAUUGCUUGUUUUAAUCAAGACUUUACUGGUCAUGUCAAAUUAAAUGAUCACCAGCAUAUUUUCCCAGGUGACAGGGAAAUGUAAUGAUUGAGAUUGCCCUUGCACCUUCUAAAGUGCUAUAUAAAUAUAAGAUAUUAGCUGUUUUCUGUGUGAAUAAAACUUUCUGUGAGGUAGGCAUUUUCUCUACAACAUUCUCAUCGUGUGCUUGACAUCCACUAUGGUGAAGGUAGUAUAAGUAGUUAUACAAAUUGAGGGUUUAAAUACUUGUUGAAUGAAUGAAUAUCAUCAAUUGCUCCCUAGGUAAACUCACUAUUAUAGGCACUAAAGAGAUACACAGACUUAUCAUUUCAUUGUGCUUAUAGCUGAGAAUAAGGCAAUACAUGUGUAGUAGUUUGGGAACUCUAAAGCACCAUGUAAAUGUAACUACUUAUUUUCUAAUUUGCUGCUGAGUACCAGGCUUAUAAAAUUAUAUCACAGUCAUCAUUAUGUUAUGAAAAAAGUUGAAAAUUUUUUGAGGAAGAAUUGUUAACUGUUGAACACUCUGGAUAUAAUAUAUAAAGGAUUAAAUAUCUGAUAAAUGUAAAGCUGGAUAAUAAUUGUCUCUUAUAUGCCAAUCUCCUUGCUAGGCAUUGGGGAUAUGAAGAUAAACCAUCUUUAUUGUGUCCUGGGUAGCAGCAGAUAAUGUAUAAAAUCAGUUUAUAAGUUUUACGUUGCCAUACAUAUAAAAACAAUAUCUGCUGAGCGAACAUUGAUUAUUUACGCUCUUUUAUCCCCAGAGAUAGCAAGUGGGGAUGCAAAAAUUCAUUAUCAGAAGUCUGUGCAAAUUUACAGAGCCUGCUGUUCUAUACAGAUAUAAAGAAAUAACUUGGCUUAAUGAAUGAUUACUGGCUACUUUCUAUGCGGCUCUGAAGUGUGCAUGCCCUAGGAUAUGAAAAUGAUUUUAUCCUUAUGUGGUGUUCAUUGGAGGAAAUAAGGAAGAUCCAGACUAAAAGUUACUUAAGCACUGCAAAGCUCAUUUAAUAAAAACGUGGGGGAAAAUGAAAUUCUGCCAGGCAGUAUGCUAAAUGCUGACCUCUGUGGAAAUGUAAAAUCUGAAUCAGAGGUGUACUUGCUCCCUGGCCUGGCUGAAGAGAUGGGAAAUAUUUUUAAGGAACAAGGUGUUAGAGUUCUCUAUCAGUCUUUAAAAUGCUGAAUGCUGAAGGUGGAGGUGAAUUUGAUCCACCAUGGCCUGGCUUGAGUCAUUAAAAGAGUAAAAAUAAAUGGCUCUUGUUUGCUUUUAGAUUCAUUUGAUAAACAGAACAUCUUUUAUGUAGAAUACAUCAUUCUAGGUCCUAAGAGAAGUGAAAUGGGCCAUGUCUAAAGGGCGUUAGAAUACAGAUUAUAGAUGAAGAUAAGAAAAUACCAUUGAGUUUUGAGCAAAUAUUUGAGUGCCCAUUCUCUGGAAGAGAUUAUGCUAGAUAAAUUUGUUGAGUGGGUCUGGUCCAGAAAACACACAUUGACAUGCCUUGGAGAUUAAAAAAAUAGAAAAGGCAUGGUUCUUUAAAUAUUAAAUGAAGACAUUACUCCUGGUUCUAGAAAGUCCCAGUGUCACUUGCUCAUUGACUAAUUUGAAGCCUGAUACAAGGGCGCUUAGGGCUUGUCCUUUAAUUCAUUACUUUAAUACUCUGUUUUUAUUAUAGAUGAAUGAUUUAAGAUGAGAUGAAAUAACUGGUUUUAAAAAUACUUGCUCAUUGUCCUGGCUUAGAGUCAGGAAGCCACUUGAGCAAUAGGUUUUUUUUUCUGUUUUCCGUAUUUUGUAAAAAUUUAUAAAAAUUUAUUUACCCUGAAUAAAGUACUGUUCUCAAAUGCUGAGAAUUAAUUUAAAAGUCCUAGACCAAAAUGUAAUUUAAUCUCUCUAGUUUAUGGUGGAAACACAAGAACACAUUUAAUAAGCGUUCUUUUAUUAGUUGAAAAAACAUUAUUGAGCAGCUGUGAUAUUAAGACACUGAGAACAAAUGACCAUCUUCUCUUCAGCAUGUUUUGUAGAGUGGGAAUAAGAGAAGGCUUUCUAUUCAUUCGUACUAACAUUGAAGAUGAUGUUAAAUUGGAACAGAUCUGGUGUGAAAUGUACUUAGUUUAUCUUGGAGAUGCAAUAAAACAAAAAAAUGGAAUGAAAUUCUACCUUAAAUGAAAGUGUCUGUUUCAAGGUAUUCUGAUAAUUGCUAGACAGAAAACAAAAAAGAUCAUGACUGAAAGAAACUUGCUUUUUUAUUAGCUUGGAGACUAGAAUAUAAGAAGUUACUGUUCAUUUCUUGACUUAUGCAUUCUAAAAGUACACUUUAGUGCCUAUUGCAUAAGGCUUUUUGCUAUGUUCCCAGUUUUUUUGCCCCAGAGACAUGGAAAGUGAAUGCUUUCCUAGAGAACUUUUAAAACUUUCCUUUUGGCUUGUUUUCUGAUUAGGGGCAUGGCUUAGUCCCUUGAUAAUGUUGUGGGUUUUAAUUCCUGCUCUGUUUCUUUACCACUCUGGCCACUACAAUAAGUAGGGUUUUCUACUGAGCUAGCUCUUUAAGUGUGAGGAAGUUUCCUUAGAGCAGACAAUUUAUUUUUCCCGGCCCAUCUCUCAGGAAAAAUGGUUCUGACCACUGCUGGGCAGAAGGAGGGAUGACAACUAAUUCCCAAACCCCAGUCUCAUUGGUACCAGCCUUGGGGAAACACUCUUACUCAAGCCACAGUUGGUUUUGAAACGCAUUUAUCAGUUUUAUCUGCUUUUAAUUCUUUAUUUUACAUUCUGAUGAAUAUACACUGCCUAAAAUAGAUCUCUUUGAAGAACAAUCUUCAGAUGGUACAUAACGUAAUGGGAGAGACAUGAUUUCUCUUGCAACAGCUUUGCAACUUAACCUUUAGAAAUCUCACCAUCAAAACAUGUUCAAGAUCUCUUAUAGUGGAAUUAUGUCAGUGACUAAAAAUAGCUAAAUUUUACCAUGUUUAAAUUUUAAAAAUAAUAGAAAUUGGAAGUAAUUGGCAAAAACUGGAGGUAAACAAUAAAAAAAAUCCUCAAUCCAGGGCCCAACUGGGCUUUGACCUUUUCUAUUUUUAAAUCACUCACAGAGGGUGGGAUUAGGAGGAAGAGUGAAAGAGAAGGUCAAACCAGUUUCUAAGGGCAGCCUGCUUGUGUUUUGGAUUGGUUUUAAGAGCAUUACUACCUCCAAAUCUAACUAAGGGAUUGCUUUUUUAGUUUAAUGCAAUUCCAAUAACUGGUCAUUGUUGAGAUGAAGACACAGUAGUUUGUCUCAACUCUUUUCUAUAAGUUUUUGAGAACAAUUUUAGACUAAAUGUCAACUAAAUACUAACGUUUGGCUUUUAAUAUGUGGUAUCAGCUGGAUUCUGUAACACUCCUGUUUUCAGAUUGGGGUCGGGGAGUACCUUAUUGGAAAUUGGAAAGGAGAAAGUAACUAAAAGCCUUCCUUUCACAGUUUCUGGCAUCCUAAGACAACUGCUACUGAUAAGAAUAAGAACAUGCUGUCAUCUGAUUUUUAUGGCAUAAGUGAAAUUGUGAACAAAUCCAUUCUUAAAGAAAAUGGCUUCGUCUUUACCUUUCUACCUAAAGGGGAAUCUCUGCCAAAUACUUGAUAAAUGGGAGGAUAUACUUGGACUUGUGAACUGAUGUGAAAUGCAGAAUUUUUGAGCUUUGAGUGUUUCGAAGAUUGAAAAAUCCUGCUCAGCAUGGAUGACCACAAAAACAGUCUUAAAGCCAUCUACAUGUCACAACUGAGACAAUUUGGGGAAUGUUGUCUAAUGUCAAAUAAAAUGUACUGUUUUGAAA